GAUGAAGAACGUAGCGAAAUGCGAUAAGUAAUGUGAAUUGCAGAAUUCAGUGAAUCAUCGAAUGUUUGAACGCACAUUGCGCCCCCUGGUAUUCCGGGGGGCAUGCCUGUCCGAGCGUCAUUACAACCCUCAAGCUCAGCUUGGUGUUGGGCCCCGCCGCCCCGGCGGGCCCUAAAGUCAGUGGCGGUGCCGUCCGGCUCCGAGCGUAGUAAUUCUUCUCGCUCUGGAGGUCCGGUCGUGUGCUCGCCAGCAACCCCCAAUUUUUUUCAGGUUGACCUCGGAUCAGGUAGGGAUACCCGCUGAACUUAAGCAUAUCAAUAAGCGGAGGA
rnacentral:misc_RNA from 1 species